UUGAGAGCGCAGGAAUUUUAUUAAGAGCUUGCUUUUUAAAACAAAACCAAUUUAUUUGCAAAACUUCAAAAAUUCAUUAAAAGCAAAUCUUGAUUUAUUUACAGAUUUACACAGGAGACGUGACUCAGUUGAUAUAAAUGAUCUACAAAUCCCCUUCCACCAAGAUCCUCAUCAUGUGAAGCAUUCCUGAUACCUAGCACUGCACGGCAUGUGGAACGUGGUAGGAACUCAGUGUUUCAAAAGCAGUGGUUAAAGCACAGAUGUUGAGGCCAGACCACCUGCAUUCAAAUCAUGACUCCGCCACUGACAAGUUCCCGUUGGCAUAAAAAGAAAUGUGAUCACGUGACAGGAUCUGUUCUCGCACAUACGAGAGUAGAAGAUCAUACACAGAAGUGUUUAGAGGAGAUGGUGGUCUUCCGGCCAGGUGACCGAAGCUUGUUUCAGUAUUUCCUCAUGUAUCAAAGUUAGGGGUCAGAAAACAUAUCUAAAAGAGUUGUCGAAACACCUCAAUGAUGCCGCUUGGAUUUGUAUCUUUGAGAGGCUCCCAAAAUUACUUCCUUGUGCUUCAUGUAACAUUUGAUGGUAUAAAUAAGAAAGAGUAAAAUUCAAAUCAAUUAAAAAUCUGUAAUUAGCAAAGUUGUGCAACCACAAUUUGUCUCAGGGCAAGAGACUAAACCUGGUGGUUGCUGCCCUUCGCGGCCUCUGUAAGGCUUCCUGAAUUAGAAUAAAACAUCCCAGUCAUACUACUGUUCUCAGAUGCCACCGUACAUAGGAUACUCUCUGAUACAUUUUCCCAAGACAAAAAGCAAAAAUUGUCUGCUCUCAUCCUAAUAUUUUAUCUAAAAAUGAAUCCCCAUGGCAGAAACACAAAGUCUACGAGGGGCUGAUCAAAGCACUGGCUGACAGACUGCCCCACUGUCCUCGGGAUAGACAACUGUUCCAAACAUCACCUGGCACCUACUUCUACCUUCUUGGGCCAAUGAGGAAAACACCAAGUAAAAUGUAGUCAUCAACUUGGAAAUUUGAGGAAAGCUGUAUUUCAAAAGAAGAAAUAUCAAGGCUCCUCUACCAAGUACAGUAGAGAGUGAAUCUACCUGAAUUUACGAACACUCUUCAAUAUAAAAAUGUGUUGUUAGAUUUUAUU